GAUACCCUGGUAGUCCACGCUGUAAACGAUGAAUACUAGGUGUGGGAGGACUGACCCCUUCCGUGCCGCAGUUAACACAAUAAGUAUUCCACCUGGGGAGUACGACCGCAAGGUUGAAACUCAAAGGAAUUGACGGGGGGCCCGCACAAGCAGUGGAUUAUGUGGUUUAAUUCGACGCAACGCGAAGAACCUUACCAGGACUUGACAUCCUACUAACGAAGUAGAGAUACAUCAGGUGCCCUUCGGGGAAAGUAGAGACAGGUGGUGCAUGGUUGUCGUCAGCUCGUGUCGUGAGAUGUUGGGUUAAGUCCCGCAACGAGCGCAACCCCUAUUGUUAGUUGCUACGCAAGAGCACUCUAGCGAGACUGCCGUUGACAAAACGGAGGAAGGCGGGGACGACGUCAAAUCAUCAUGCCCCUUAUGUCCUGGGCUACACACGUAAUACAAUGGUGGUCAACAGAGGGAGGCAAGACUGCGAAGUGGAGCAAAUCCCUAAAAGCCAUCUCAGUUCGGAUUGCAGGCUGCAACUCGCCUGCAUGAAGCUGGAAUUGCUAGUAAUCGCGGAUCAGCAAGCCGCGGUGAAUACGUUCCCGGGCCUUGUACACACCGCCCGUCACACCAUGAGAGUCGGGAACACCCGAAGUCCGUAGUCUAACCGCAAGGGGGGCGCGGCCGAAGGUGGGUCCGGUAAUUGGGGUGAAGUCGUAACAAGGUAGC
rnacentral:rRNA from 1 species